rnacentral:tRNA from 2 species
GGGGAUAUGGCUCAGUUGGUAGAGCGCCUCGUUCGCAACGAGGAGGCCAGCGGUUCGAAUCCGCUUAUCUCCACCA